rnacentral:tRNA from 1 species
GCCGGGGUAGCUCAGUGGUAGAGCGUGAGCCUGAAGAGCUCAGCGUCGUUGGUUCGAUUCCGACCCCCGGCACCA